rnacentral:rRNA from 1 species
UACGGGGGGAGCAAGCGUUGUUCGGAUUUACUGGGCGUAAAGGGCGCGUAGGCGGUCAGCACAAUUCAGUUGUGAAAUCUCCGGGCUUAACUCGGAAAGGUCAACUGAUACUGUGCGACUAGAGUGCGGAAGGGGCAACUGGAAUUCUCGGUGUAGCGGUGAAAUUCGUAGAUAUUCGCAAGAACACCAGUGGCGAAGGCGGCUCACUGGCCCGGUACUGACGCUGAGGUGCGAAAGCGUGGGGAGCAAACAGG